rnacentral:rRNA from 1 species
UACGGGGGUGCAAGCGUUAAUCGGAAUUACUGGGCGUAAAGACGCACGUAGGCGGUUCGUUAAGUCGGAUGUGAAAUCCCCGGGCUCAACCUGGGACCUGCAUUCGAUACUGGCGAACUUGAGUAUGAUAGAGGGGGGUGGAAUUCCAGGUGUAGCGGUGAAAUGCGUAGAUAUCUGGAGGAAUACCGAUGGCGAAGGCAGCCCCCCUGGCCUGAUACUGACACUGAGGUGCGAAAGCAUGGGGAGCAAACAGGA